CCUACGGGAGGCUGCAGUGGGGGAUAUUGCACAAUGGGGGGAACCCUGAUGCAGCGACGCCGCGUGGGUGAAGAAGCGCCUCGGCGCGUAAAGCCCUGUCAGCAGGGAAGAAAAUGACGGUACCUGAAGAAGAAGCCCCGGCUAACUACGUGCCAGCAGCCGCGGUAAUACGUAGGGGGCAAGCGUUCUCCGGAUUUACUGGGUGUAAAGGGGGCGCAGGCGGCGUUGCAAGCCAGGAGUGAAAGCCGGGGGCCCAACCCCGGGACUGCUCUUGGAACUGCGUGGCUGGAGUGCAGGAGGGGCAGGCGGAAUUCCUGGUGUAGCGGUGAAAUGCGUAGAUAUCAGGAGGAACACCGGUGGCGAAGGCGGCCUGCUGGACUGCAACUGACGUUGAGGCCCGAAAGCGUGGGGAGCAAACAGGAUUAGAUACCCCUGUAGUC
rnacentral:rRNA from 1 species